AGAGGGAGAGGGAGAGAGAGAGAGAGAGAGAGAGAGAGAGUGAGACCGACCCAAACUUCUGGAUGUUUAAUCAGCCAGUCAACAUGAGCUGUGGUCCAGUAUUUGGAGCCUGGAUCUGAUUAGUCAUUGUUCAGCAGAACUGGUUAUAAAACACAGAGAGUCCUGCCAAGGUUACACUCGCAGAAAAAACAAGAACAUAUAACCAGGGUAAUGGUCGUGUACCAGCGCUGCAUCUCCCUGGCCUUGGCGUGUCUCUUGCUUUGCCACAACUCCCUGGCAGCAACACCGUUCAUAAGUACGGCGUGCGCUGAAAAGUCAAGAUCAACCUGGUCCUUUUUAAAUUUCAAGUGGGGUCACUUCCUCAAACACAAUUAUCAGAACUGGCACCUAUUAUCUGAGAAUUCCAUCAAGUCCUUCCUGAACUUCAAUGAACUGGAUAAGGUGAAGGACGUGUGCAGCAACAAGGGGGGGCAGCAGUUCCAGCCAGAAGGGUUGAAGGGCAAGAGCACGAACCUGUGCAUCAGCAGGGAGAAAUUCAAUUUUGUCACUGUGAUAUCCAACCCCUGGAGAAUCAGAGCCGAGUUCAAGCACCUGAUUGUGGCCUGUGAUCUAGUGGAUGGAGAAUGUCUGCCGACCCACUUCGAGGCCAACAAGGAAAACUUCAUACCCAAUAUCAAUACAAUAGGCUGUCGAGGUGGACCAAAACCAAAGAUAUAUGUCUAGUGGUCGCUGUAAUCUGCCCUGCUUCUGACUAUCUGCAGUCAGUCGUUCCUUUUUGACAUCAUGGGCUUUUUCAAUGUUAAUUAUUUUUGAAGAAUUAAUGUGUAGGCCUACUACUAAUUUGACAAAUGUGGUAUGAUAUGAAAAGCGUUCCGGUCUGUUUAAAUAAUUCAGAAUAAAAAUAUAUAUAUAUAUUUUAUACUGAAUUUACCUUCAAAUCCGCACAUUUACAAAAAUAAAUGAAAAAAAACAUCUCUGUACUAUAUACUGUAUGUAUUUAUGAAAAACUUCUCGUAGCCUGAUUAAAUAAUUGGUUAGACUUUGUGGCACAUCUCUCGAUUUAUAGCCAACAUGAGCAUUUGUUUCCUGGCCUACUGCUUUCUUUUCUCUAACCAUCUCUUCACUGAGAACUUCGCUAUUGACCCUUCUGCCUAAUGCUAUAAGAAGUUCUGCAAUAAAUUCUACCUGGUUAACCUG